AUGUUUUUCCACCAACAGCGACGAGAAGUGGACGAACCCACCAAACAACAAGCAACCGCCAACUGCUACCUAUUUUUCAAUUUAUUCUCGAUCUUCACGUCAAAAUCAGAAAUUUGGAUCGCCGUGGGUGUAUGGGAACCACGUUCAUACGAAAGAGUGUGUGGCUGUGUGUGGUUUUUAAAAACGAAGAACGUUUCCUCACUUCCCUCAUCUUCUUCAUCUCUCUCAUCUCUCUCUCAAUAUUUCUGCUUCUCUUAUUGAAAUCUCAUUGCUAUGCAUCUUUUUACUAUCUGAAAGGAAGAAGAUGUCAGCUAUGGGACAACUCUUCGGAGGGUCCAUCCUCUCGGCCUUCCUUCAGGUGGCCUUCGACAGGUUUGCCUCUCCUGAGUUGCUGGACUUCUUACUCCGAUGGGAAAUCGACUUGGAUGAAGUGGAGUCACUGAAGCGGACUUCAGCCAUGAUUCAAGCCUUAUCUGAUGAAGCUGAAGUGAAGCAGUUCACCAACGUUGCUGUGAAACUGUGGCUAGACCACGUCAAACAACUCCUCUAUGAUGCUGAGGACAUACUGGAUGAGUAUGCCACUGAACUUCUACGCCUGAAAUUGGAAUCUGCUCACCAAACCGAACAGGUACGCCACCCUAUUGUUCCUCUCACUCCAUCAAGUCCAGAAAGUAGUGUUUCUUCUUGGUUGAACUCCGGUAUAGAAUCUGCAGUUAAGGGCAUCGAAGAUACGAUAGAAGGAGUAAAAGGCAUUGGGACCAAGGUUUAUGACAUCGCGGAAGAGCUGCGGGGAAUUAAAAGGUUUGGAUCAAAAGUAAGGGAUAUCAACCAGGGGUUAAAAAGUGUAGCACAAGAAGGUGUUGCUCUGGGUUUGACCUCAAGGAUGGGAUUUGGGUGCUCAAGGCAUAUGGUGUUCAGUCAAAGACCACCGACGAGUUCUUUGGUGAGUAGAUAUAAAGUUUUUGGCCGAGAGGAAGAUAUGGAGAAGGUUGUUCGAUGGUUGCUAUCAGACAAAACUCCAUGUCCUAGUGACAAUGGCAAUAAUUUCUCAGUGCUACCCAUAGUUGGCAUGGGUGGAGUUGGGAAGACGACCCUUGCUCAACUUGUUUAUAACGAUGAGAAAAUUAAGAAGCAUUUUCACCUGAAAGCUUGGGUUUGUGUAUCCGAGGAUUUUGAUGUGGUGAGGUUAUCCAAAGAAAUUCUCAAAUCAGCCAUUGGGUCAUCAUUCCUUCCUAAUUCUCUGGACCUGCUACAUGUGAAACUUCAAGAAGCAUUGAGCGAGAAAAGAUUCUUAUUGGUUCUGGAUGACAUGUGGAAUGAGAACUAUGAGAGAUGGGACGCCUUAAGCACCGCUUUUGCAUCCGGUCGAGCAGGAAGCAAGAUAUUGGUUACAACAAGGAACAAAGGAGUUGCAUCAAUUGUGCGUACCGUUCCAAACGAUCAUUGUCUAAAAGGUCUGUCAAACGAGGCUUGUUUUGCAUUGGUUAGAAGGCAUGCUUUCAUGGAAGAAAAUACAUUUGAUGCAAAUCAAAAGUUGGAAUUAUUUGGAGAACAAAUAGUGAAGAAGUGUAAAGGCUUACCUUUGGCUGUAAAGACACUUGCUGGCCUCUUGCGGGAUAAAAGAGAGAGUAGUCAAUGGAAAGCUAUUUUGGAGAAUGAAAUAUGGGAUUUAAGAGAAAGUGAGAUCCUUCCAUCACUCAUGUUGAGCUACCAUCAUCUUUCACCAAUUUUGAAGAGAUGCUUCACAUAUUGUGCUUUGUUUCCCAAAGACUAUGUAUUCAACAAGAUGGAAUUAGUUGUCUUGUGGAUGGCAGAAGGUAUUGUUCAACCAAAAGAAAGAAAACGGUUGGAAGAUAUAGGUGCUGGGUAUUUUGAUGAACUAUUUAUGAGGUCCUUCUUUGAGUUAUCUAAUCGUCGUCAUGCUUUGGCGGGACGCUUGUUGUUUAUUGACUUAUCAAAAGAACUUCGCACGAGAUCAUUUUUUGAGUCAUCCAGUAAUAUAGGAUCAGGAUUUGUGAUGCAUGAUCUGAUCCAUGAUUUAGCACAAUUUGUUUCAAGUGGAAUAUAUUGUAGGAGAGAGCAUGAUAAGCCAUCCCAAGUUCGUACUACAACCCGUCAUUUGUCCUAUGUUAUGGACGGUUAUGAUGCUAAAGUGACAAAAUUUGAGGUCCUGAAAAGCUUACGCACUUUUCUAACUCUAAAUGAUAUUGCAGGUAGUCCCAGGUGCUUUGUGCCCACCAUGCAAUUCAAAUUCCACUUCCUGCGUGUGCUACGUUUCAGAAAUUGUUGCAAUUGUGAGUUGCCUGAUUCAGUUGGCAAGUUGAAACAUCUAAGGUUUCUUGAUCUCUCAUUUUCUGAUAUUGUGAGGUUACCUGACUCUAUUGGAAAUCUUUACAAUCUACAAUUGUUAACCCUUACUGGCUGUACGAGGCUUAGACAGUUGCCUAAAGAUAUGAGUAAUCUUGUAAACCUUCGGUAUCUUGUUCUCCCCACACAUUGGGGUUUCCAUAGAAUUCCAUUGGGAGUGGGUAACUUGACUAGUCUUCAAUUGUUGGCCACGCUUAAUGCGGGAACAAAAAAAAAGCUGUCCCAACUCUCUGGGACUCGGCACAAUUCAAAUUUGGAAAAUGUAAGCAAUAAUGGGGCAGAAACCAUGGUGACCAAGCCACAGAUUCUUGGGCUACAGCUGCACAACCUCACAUCACUCCGAGUUCUUCGAAUAUCUAACUGUGAGAAUUUGGAGUCACUAUCUAAGGAACUAUACACUUUAUCGUCUCUCCAACGAUUAGUAAUCGGAAGUUGCCCUACUCUUGUAUCCUUCCAGGAAGCAAGGUUACCCACUGCGCUUCAAGAAUUGAAGAUCUUCGAUUGUGAGAAUCUGAGGUCACUACCCAAAGAGCUACACACUCUAGCGUCUCUCAAAGAAUUUGUAAUUGAUAGUUGCCCUGCUCUUGUGUCCUUCCAGGAAAUAAGGUUACCCCCUGCGCUUGAAGAAUUGGAGAUCAUAGAUUGUGAGAAUUUGGAGUCCCUUCCUAUGAGAUUACUGCACAGUCUCACGUCCUUCCAAAGAUUAGAAAUCAAAGAGUGCCCUGCUCUUGAAUCCAUUCCAGAAAUGGGGUUACCCACCGCACUUCGGGAAGUAUCAAUUCAAAAUUGUGGGCAGCUGAAUUCCUUGCCCCAAGGGCUGCACAAAGUCACAAGUCUUAAACAACUGGAAAUUGUGGAGUGCUCUUUUCUUAUGGAGUGCAAGAAUCUUGAACCCCUACAUACAGCAGGCCUUCAUAAUCUGACCUCUCUUAAAUAUCUAACCAUUGGUGGAUGUCAUGCUCUUGUGUCCAUUCCUAAGGGCCUGCUUCCCACCAACCUUUGGGAUUUUUGCAUCAAGGACUGCCCAAUUCUUGAAUCCCUUUAUGAUGGACUCUCUGAACUAACCUCUCUUAAUCGUUUGGAGAUCCAGAACUGUCCAAUGCUGACACAAAAGUACCGAAAGAAAGAAGGAGAAGAGUGGUCCAAGAUUGCCCAAAUCCCUAUGGUAAUAAUAGAUGACAUAUGGCAAUAAAGCCUAAACACCACAUGUGGGUCUUGCCUCUUAUAAUUAAAUCUAUGAUGGAGUACCUACCAUAGACAGAGAGUGUCUGUUAUGCAAAACCACAAUAAAAGCAGAGAUGCAUUGCAGCUAAUAUUCAGGAGAGUCACGAGAUGCAAUGUCUUUCUCUUAAAAUGCUUAAGAACCAAUAAAAAGCGGCAUGGAAAUUUCAUGGAACUUUAAUUUCUCUCAGAUGGAAUGAUUUUCUUUGAAAAGGCUCAGGAAUAUACACAAAGCAACAUGGCAAUUGCAUGGAACUUUUCAGCAAAUUAAUGCAACCUAGCAUUGUAUCAUAAGGAGUAAAUGUAUUUCUUUUCCACUGUCAGAUCUGGACAAGAGUAACGAGUGGACGAAUGUCCUACACUGAGUUUAUAACAACUACUUGAGAAAGGAAAUGCAAAUCAUUGCGCUCUAAACAGUUUAUUGUAAUCAAAAUACUGAAUGUAAAUUGUUAUGUUUGUCUCAAAUUCUUGACCUGUUUUGUAAAAUGAUCCACUCCCGAAAUUUUUCUAGUGGUGACCCGAAUGGGAUUUUUUUUUUUUUUUCUGAGAUUUGUGAUGGUAGCAGAGGGGUUGGCCCAACAUUGAUCUCGUAUAGGCAUAUGGUACGACCGGAUCGAUUGCAACCCGAUGGAUCGACCCGCGACUUGGAGGAGUAUAUAAAAUACUAUAGUCUUAUUGAGCAAGCAUUGUAAUUGGGGGGUUUUUCAAGUUAGGGUUUUCUGGGUGGGUUUUUCUUGUUGCAGUUUAGGUGUAUUUAAGCAAUCUCCGUAUCCUCAACGGCAAUUGCAGCGUCAUUUGGGAAUCCGGCACCGCCAAUCGUGGCAUUACUACUGCGACACUGGAUGAUUCAGGUAAUCUCUCCUUGAAGAACGACUCUGUUUUUGUUUGGUCCACUUUCGAUACUACAUUUCCAGUCCAAACACAAACACAAAAACCUGCCAUCAAGACCUCUCAGCCGAGCUAUUUGAUGGGGUGAAUGAGGAGGCCGGCUAGAAAAAUCUCGACUGUAGCCGGUGCUACCUAUACUAGCCGUGUGGCUAUUCGUGGCACAUGCUAGGUCCGAGCUGCAAGUGCCGAUGGAAGCUACGGCGUUUACGUUGGAUGAUUUGGACGACACGACUGAGUCAUAAUCCAACUCCCGAUCGCUCUCACCCUCUCUCAUUGCCCACUGAACAAAUGAGAUUGUAUUUGUUCAGAUUCUUAAGAUUGCAAAGCUAUUCGACGGCGUGAAUGAGGACUGUGGGAAAAACCUCUACCGCAGCCGAUGCUACUUGUACUUGCUGUGUGGCUAUUCGUGGCACAUGCUAGGUCGGUGCUGACAGGUGCCAUUGGAUGCUUUUUAGUGAAAAGGGUAUAACGGUCAUUUUAUGUCUUGACUUAACCAUGAUUGAUGGUAAAGGGUCUGAGAAUAAUUUGGUGAAACAAAGUGGGUGAUCUUAUCAUUGUUGCAUUCUCCAGGGGUGGCGUGGUAAAUUUUCCUAAAUGUUAUU